UCGACGAACACUUUGAUCGAUUUCUUCGGAUUGAAAUUUUAGUGACUGAGUGGCGGACGGGUGAGUAACGCGUGGGCAACCUGCCUCACACAGGGGGAUAACAGUUGGAAACGGCUGCUAAUACCGCAUAAGCGCACAGUACCGCAUGGUACAGUGUGAAAAACUCCGGUGGUGUGAGAUGGACCCGCGUCUGAUUAGCUAGUUGGCAGGGCAACGGCCUACCAAGGCGACGAUCAGUAGCCGACCUGAGAGGGUGACCGGCCACAUUGGGACUGAGACACGGCCCAAACUCCUACGGGAGGCAGCAGUGGGGAAUAUUGCACAAUGGGGGAAACCCUGAUGCAGCGACGCCGCGUGAGCGAAGAAGUAUUUCGGUAUGUAAAGCUCUAUCAGCAGGGAAGAAGAAAUGACGGUACCUGACUAAGAAGCACCGGCUAAAUACGUGCCAGCAGCCGCGGUAAUACGUAUGGUGCAAGCGUUAUCCGGAUUUACUGGGUGUAAAGGGAGCGCAGGCGGAAGGCUAAGUCUGAUGUGAAAGCCCGGGGCUCAACCCCGGUACUGCAUUGGAAACUGGUCAUCUAGAGUGUCGGAGGGGUAAGUGGAAUUCCUAGUGUAGCGGUGAAAUGCGUAGAUAUUAGGAGGAACACCAGUGGCGAAGGCGGCUUACUGGACGAUAACUGACGCUGAGGCUCGAAAGCGUGGGGAGCAAACAGGAUUAGAUACCCUGGUAGUCCACGCCGUANACGAUGAAUACUAGGUGUNGGAAAGCACAGCUUUUCGGUGCCGCCGCAAACGCAUUAAGUAUUCCACCUGGGGAGUACGU
rnacentral:rRNA from 1 species